rnacentral:rRNA from 1 species
GAUGAACGCUAGCUGCAGGCUUAACACAUGCAAGUCGAGGGGUAACGAGAGGAAAGCAUGCUUUCCUUGUCGACGACCGGCGCACGGGUGAGUAACGCGUAUCCAACCUGCCCCCAACUAAGGAAUAACCUUGCGAAAGUAAGACUAAUACCUUAUAAUUUCCUCAGAUGACAUCUGACGAGGAAUAAAGAUUGAUCGGUUGUGGAUGGGGAUGCGUCUGAUUAGCUUGUUGGCGGGGUAACGGCCCACCAAGGCAACGAUCAGUAGGGGUUCGGAGAGGAAGGUCCCCCACAUUGGAACUGAGACACGGUCCAAACUCCUACGGGAGGCAGCAGUGAGGAAUAUUGGUCAAUGGGCGAAAGCCUGAACCAGCCAAGUAGCGUGCAGGAUGACGGCCCUAUGGGUUGUAAACUGCUUUUAUACAGGAAUAAAGUUAGCCACGUGUGGUUAUUUGUAGGUACUGUAUGAAUAAGGACCGGCUAAUUCCGUGCCAGCCGCCGCCGUAA